UACAGAGGGGGCGAGCGUUGUUCGGAAUUACUGGGCGUAAAGGGCGCGUAGGCGGCCCUCUAAGUCGAACGUGAAAUCCCCGGGCUCAACCCGGGAACUGCGUCCGAUACUGGGAGGCUUGAAUCCGGGAGAGGGAUGUGGAAUUCCAGGUGUAGCGGUGAAAUGCGUAGAUAUCUGGAGGAACACCGGUGGCGAAGGCGGCAUCCUGGACCGGUAUUGACGCUGAGACGCGAAAGCGCGGGGAGCGAACGGG
rnacentral:rRNA from 1 species